AAGAUAGCUCAUUUUGAUUCCUUAGUUGGAAUUAUUUUCAUUUUUUUCAUAACAAAGCUAUAGUGGAUGACAAAUGUUUUCUGCCUUAUUAUUAUUUGGACAUAUUUUUUUACCUUUUUAAUUCAUUUCAACCUAUCAUCAUUACUAUAUUAGUGCUUUAUAUUAUUUUCUUUUUCUUCUUAUUUGACAUCAAAUUUAUUUCAAAUGGAUUCCAGUUCUCAUCAUUACUUAUUACUAGGAACCAGUUUAGUAAUAAGAAUGAAAAUUAGAAAUAAUUAUUUUUUAUAUGCUGAUUGAUUCAGUGCCAAAUAAAAAUCAAAUGAAUAUAUUUAAUUUGUUACACAAAAUGAAUGUAAAUAUAAAUUAUAAAUUUUUAUUUUAUUUUUAUAAAAAUAAAAAGUUCAUUGGGUUUCUAUUAUUUUUUUUAACUAUCCAAACACCAACUCAUUUCUAUCCUAAUUUCUUCACCAACCAAACCACCAUUGUCUAUUUUUUCUUUAUUCCCAUAUUUCUUCCACGACAAUCCUCUUUUUAAGUUUAUUUGAAGGAUAACAUUGUUAUACUAUUGCAUUAGCUUGGUGUUCUUUUUCUUUUUCUUCUUAUGUUUAGCUGUACUCCAUAAAAAGAUAUAAAUU
rnacentral:lncRNA from 1 species